rnacentral:rRNA from 1 species
UGCUACGUCCGUACCAGCUUGAAUGCGCCCGACCUCUUCUGAUCUUGGAAGCUAAGCAGGGUCGGGCCUGGUUAGUACUUGGAUGGGAGAGUAAACAGGAAAUGGAGAAU